UAGGUGUUAUUUUGUCACGUAACAAAACAUGACAAAACACUUGCUAGGGUGUUUUGUCAAGGGCUUGAUUAACAUUGUUAUCUGUACUAAAGUAGCGAUCUUCAAACUCCUCCAUGCCUGGGAUCACAUGUGAAUCCUUGUUCAGUGACAUGUCAAUCUCCCAUGUCACAAUUUUUAGCUUUGGGAAUUUCUUACAAACAGCAUGUCUUCCUUCAGGAGCCUGCGUCGUAAUUUCAAAAUUUUCAAAAAUGAAAUAUAAACUAUUAAUAAUUCUGUAGAACUUAAAAUUGUCUGGAGAGAAAACAAUUAAACAUCAAAAUCACUCACUGCUAUGAGAUUAAGGAAGAUUAUGUUGGAUUCUGCUACACCCUUGCUCAGCAGCAAAGAAGUAGCUUUGAUUGCAGAAUUUCCUAAUAAUGAAGAAUUUUUAGACACUGGAUAUGUAUUAUGAAAACAUAUUUGGAAGAAUUACAGUAUGUUUGGAAUUUAUUUUACUUGAAGCCAAAACUGGGUCGAGCAAUAACACAUUGCGGCUUGAAAUGUCAGCUGGUAGCUUCUCAUAGAUUAACUGCAGCAAUGUCACAGGUAUAAAAUCUUACUGAAGCAGUUGAGAGAGAGAGAGAGAGAGAUCUUAAAAGCAUCUUUGUAGAAUUUGCAUAUGCAUCUUGGAGAAGAUAGAGCUAGCACUCGUGAAUGAAUACAUGGUUUGGUUACUACUGCAGAAUUAUGUUAAAUUGACGAAUUUUACGAAUUUGCAUAUGCAUCUGGGAGUACGAGCUUGAGAGAGGUGUCAAAUGCAUCUAGUGGGCAACAAGCUUCAAAAGAAAAUGAAUAGGUUUUGUUGAGGGAAUAGUUGAUAUAAUCGAGCGGCUGAUGUUUGGGAGCCAAACUGAGAUUAUGUUGCUCUUUCUUUUCUUUUCUUUUCUUCUUUUUUUUUUCUUUUUCUUUUUUUUUUUUUUUU